GAUGAACGCUGGCGGCGUGCUUAACACAUGCAAGUCGAACGGUGAAGCAGAGCUUGCUCUGUGGAUCAGUGGCGAACGGGUGAGUAACACGUGAGCAACCUGCCCCUGACUCUGGGAUAAGCGCUGGAAACGGCGUCUAAUACUGGAUAUGAGCUGCGACCGCAUGGUCAGCAGUUGGAAAGAUUUUUCGGUCUGGGAUGGGCUCACGGCCUAUCAGCUUGUUGGUGAGGUAAUGGCUCACCAAGGCGUCGACGGGUAGCCGGCCUGAGAGGGUGACCGGCCACACUGGGACUGAGACACGGCCCAGACUCCUACGGGAGGCAGCAGUGGGGAAUAUUGCACAAUGGGCGAAAGCCUGAUGCAGCAACGCCGCGUGAGGGAUGACGGCCUUCGGGUUGUAAACCUCUUUUAGCAGAGAAGAAGCGAAAGUGACGGUACCUGCAGAAAAAGCGCCGGCUAACUACGUG
rnacentral:rRNA from 1 species